rnacentral:lncRNA from 1 species
AUACAUUUUGAGACUGUAGUCAACUCCUUCAAGUCCUUUCUUAAUGACUUCAGCCAUGGAGGACGGCACAAUUUAAGCUAACUCAGUGAGACAGGAAGAACUCUUCACAGAGAGCGAGAACCUGCACAACCAUGGCGUCCUCAGCUCCCCACAGUGCUGCAGGAGAUGCCCUGGCUCAACUACUUUGUCCUUGGAAGAAACAAACAGUGCCUGGACCAAGAGGUGGUGGCAGCUGACCUGGAUGGCACAGAAAUACACACACUCACAGCCAGAGCUUUGCAGACAGCCCUGAAACCUGCCACAGCACAGAAAGCAAUACAAGUGGAUGAAACCACGGUGGAAGAAGAGAAAAUAUACAGAAGAAUCUUCAAACUGCAAGAGUCGAAAGGGAUCCUCCAUGGAAGAAGAGAACCCAGUUUAUACUAGGAAAAGGAAAGGCAAGAUGUCAAAGCCGUUGUGGCACUGUGGCCCCAGUGGAGGCUGGCUGGAGCUGCCUAUGGUGAAGUCAACACUGGGCCUGACACCCAGGCUUGGCUUGACGGUUCUUCAAGCCCCCUGGCCUGUGCACCAGCAGCCACAGCAUGGAUUCCUGCGAUCUCAGUGCAUGGCAGCCCUCUCUCCAGCAGCAGAGAGCUCUCCCUGGCUGAGGCCCAUCAGAGCAAGGCUGCUGUUAUGGGCCAGUGACUUGCCAGGGGCCACACUGCAAAACUAGAUCCAGGGUCUUGGAAAGCACAAAGAAGCUCUCCAGUGGUCUUGCCCAAAUCUGCAGCAGCCUACA